GCGGCCGGGCCGCCCGCGGGCCCCUCUGCUGCCCGCCCGGCCCGCCGGGCCCCGAGCAGGGCCGGCGGGAUGCGGCGCCUUCUCUUCCCGCCGCGCUCCCCGCUCCAUCCCGGUGGCCUCCCUGUCUCGCCGCCUUCCCCUGCCCGGCGCUCGGAUGGGGCCUCGGACAAUGGUGCCGGCCGCCUUUUGUGCCGCCCCCCCCGGGGCGGUGGCGGCCCUUCCGCCGGAGCUCGGGGCUGCCCUGCCCUCGGCCCGCGGUGCCGCUGCCGCGCACGGAGGCCCCUGCCGGUGCCGGAGACCGCUCCCACGCUCUGGUGAGCAUGGUUACGGUGUGCUGCGCUGGCCCGUUUUGUUUCUUGUCCUACCGUGUAUCAACCCCUUUUUUCUUUUCAGUUUUUAUACUUUAUUUUGAAAUGCUGGUAGGCACAUCAGUAAUGGUUUCCUGGGCAUCUGCGUCUAAAUGGGGAAGGAGUGCGGUACUCGGUGCUACAUGUGAUUAGCAGCGGACAAAGUUAACCUCAACCUGCAGAGCUGAUCAAUAAGGAGCCAAGGCACUCAUGGCUUCAUCUGGACAAACAACUGCCAGUUCUCUCCUCACAGCCUUCUGAAUUCUGUGUUCUUCUAAGAUGUGAAAGAGGUUUUUGAAUUGUUACAGAUAAAAUGAGAAGGCUUUCCUUUGUUGAUUGUGGACAUGAGUAUUAAGUCUCAGUGAUGUUUUUUUCCCUAAAUGUCCAGCACUAAUUAUUGCAGUACAGUUGAGGCUUCACAGGACAAAAUUAAACAGUUGCAAUCACUUAAUUUGUGACACUCACUGUAACUGUGUUUAUUUGUUUAUAUUGAUAUCUAAGCUAGCUUAGAUUUUAGAAAACCUAAUUUGCAUCUUCUGAUUUUUGCAGUUCUUCAGCUUCAUUCUUUGCUGAGUAACAUCCUUCCUAUCAUUAUUUACUCCUUCAAUGUUUUGGAUUAGAAAUGUUACUUAUUGUUUAUUACAGUAGCAGGCACCCAUUUGUUGACUCACAGUUCUGUUGUUUAAGGUGAGGGAUCAAACAGUCAGCCUGUUUAUUUCUGUCAGGAUUAGUCAGCAUCCCUGUGUAAAACUGAGGAAAAAGUCUUGAUAAGCAGAGGUGUUAUAAUUUGUAGGGAUGUCUGCAUGACUUGCUGGUGUUUUUUGUGUGUGAUAUAAUGAGACUGUGUGGUCAUGAAAUUAGCAAAGUGCAUACUAAAUUAAAACUCUUAUGUGCACUCAUUUAAAAGAAAACCAACCAAUGAGAGAAAGAAACCUAAAACCUAGAAAGAAAGCAGUUAGUGAGUUAUAAACUGAAUAACUUUAUGUAAAAACACUUCCAUGACUGGGAUUAAAAUUUCCUUUUUGUAUACUUGUCAUACCCCCAGUCAUAAGUCAAAAGAAGACAAGUCCUCGAUCUUCUGUUGGAUAGACUGUAGGGUUAUUCUUCUGUGAUUUGUUGAGGGCUGUUUGCCAAAAGGAAA